rnacentral:rRNA from 1 species
GACAGAGGGUGCAAACGUUGCUCGGAAUCACUGGGCGUAAAGGGCGUGUAGGCGGGAAGGAUAGUCAGAUGUGAAAUCCCCGGGCUUAACCUGGGAACUGCAUUUGUGACUGCAUGGCUAGAGUGCGGCAGAGGGGGAUGGAAUUCCGCGUGUAGCAGUGAAAUGCGUAGAUAUGCGGAGGAACACCGAUGGCGAAGGCAAUCCCCUGGACCUGUACUGACGCUCAUGCACGAAAGCGUGGGGAGCAAACAGG